GAGACCUCAGGUCAGGC
rnacentral:rRNA from 1 species